rnacentral:rRNA from 1 species
GGGACUUUUUCUGGUAGCAAUACCGGGGAAAGUUUAGUGGCGAACGGGUGCGUAACACGUGGGCAAUCUGCCGAGAAGUGGGGGAUAGCUCGCCGAAAGGCGAAUUAAUACCGCAUACGAUCAGGGACGACAUCGUUCCAACAUCAAAGCCGGGGCAACCUGGCGCUUCUUGAUGAGCCCGCGGCCUAUCAGCUAGUUGGUGAGGUAACGGCCCACCAAGGCUAUGACGGGUAGCUGGUCUGAGAGGACGACCAGUCACACUGGAACUGAGACACGGUCCAGACACCUACGGGUGGCAGCAGUCGAGAAUUUUUCUCAAUGGGGGAAACCCUGAAGGAGCGACGCCGCGUGGAGGAUGAAGGCUUUCGGGUUGUAAACUCCUGUCAUUUGAGAACAAGGGUGAGCAAGUAACUACUGCUCACUUGAUAGUAUCAGAAGAGGAAGAGACGGCUAACUCUGUGCCAGCAGCCGCGGUAAUACAGAGGUCUCAAGCGUUGUUCGGAUUCAUUGGGCGUAAAGGGUGCGUAGGUGGCGUGGUAAGUCGGGUGUGAAAUCCCGGGGCUCAACCCCGGGACUGCAUUCGAUACUGCUGUGCUUGAGGACUGGAGAGGAGACUGGAAUUUACGGUGUAGCAGUGAAAUGCGUAGAGAUCGUAAGGAAGACCAGUGGCGAAGGCGGGUCUCUGGACAGUUCCUGACACUGAGGCACGAAGGCCAGGGGAGCAAACGGGAUUAGAUACCCCGGUAGUCCUGGCAGUAAACGGUGCACGUUUGGUGUGAGAGGAUUCGACCCCUUUCGCGCCGGAGCUAACGCGUUAAACGUG